rnacentral:rRNA from 1 species
AUCAAUAGCUGGUCUGAGAGGACGAUCAGCCACACUGGAACUGAGACACGGUCCAGACUCCUACGGGAGGCAGCAGUCGGGAAUAUUGGGCAAAGGGCGAAAGCCUGACCCAGCAACGCCGCGUGAAGGAUGAAGGCCUUCGGGUCGUAAACUUCUGUCGAGAGGGAAGAAUUGCGUACGGUCAAUAUCCGUGCGUUUGACGGUACCUCCAAAGGAAGCACCGGCUAACUCCGUGCCAGCAGCCGCGGUAAUACGGAGGGUGCAAGCGUUGUUCGGAUUUAUUGGGCGUAAAGCGAGUGUAGGCGGUUUGGAAAGUCGAGUGUGAAAGCCCAGGGCCCAACCCUGGAACUGCAUCCGAUACUGCCAAGCUAGAGUUCCGGAGAGGAUGGCGGAAUUCCCGGUUAGGGGUGAAAUCCGUAGAUAUCGGGAGGAACACCAGUGGCGAAGGCGGCCAUCUGGACGGUGACUGACGCUGAGACUCGAAAGCGUGGGUAGCAAACAGGAUUAGAUACCCUGGUAGUCCACGCCGUAAACGGUGAGAGCUCGUCGUAGUGGGUAUUGACCCCUGCUGUGACCAAGUUAACGCAUGAAGCUCUCCGCCUGGGUAGUACGGUCGCAAGACUAAAACUCAAAGAAAUUGACGGGGGCCCGCACAAGCGGUGGAGCAUGUUGUUUAAUUCGAAGCAACGCGCAGAACCUUACCUGGAUUUGACAUCUCGGGAAUCUCUCUGAAAGGAGAGAGUGCCUUCGGGAACCCGAUGACAGGUGCUGCAUGGCUGUCGUCAGCUCGUGUCGUGAGGUGUUGGGUUAAGUCCCGCAACGAGCGCAACCCCUAUCGUUAGUUGCUAGCAGUUCGGCUGAGCACUCUAGCGAGACUGCCGGUGUUAAACCGGAGGAAGGUGGGGACGACGUCAAGUCCUCAUGGCCUUUAUGUCCAGGGCUACUAACGUGCUACAAUGGUCGGUACAGACGGUCGCGAACCUGCGAAGGUAAGCCAAUCCUACAAAGCCGGCCUCAGUUCGGAUUGAAGUCUGCAAUUCGACUUCAUGAAGGCGGAAUCGCUAGUAAUCGCAGAUCAGCAUGCUGCGGUGAAUACGUUCCCGGGCCUUGUACACACCGCCCGUCACACCACGAAAGCUGGUUGAACCAGAAGUCGGCGACCCAACCUUCGGGAGGGAGCCGCCCAAGGUAUGACUGGUGAUUGGGGUGAAGUCGUAACAAGGUA